rnacentral:rRNA from 1 species
AGCAGCCGCGGUAAUUCCAGCUCCAAUAGCGUAUAUUAAAGUUGUUGCAGUUAAAAAGCUCGUAGUUGAAUUUCGGGAUUCUACCGUCGGUCGGGCUAACAAGUCUGUACUGAUGUGUAGAAUUUCUACCUUCUGGGGAACCAUCAUGUUAUUAAUUUAGCGUGGUGGGAAACCAGGACCUUUACCUUGAAAAAAUUAGAGUGUUCAAAGCAGGCUUACGUCUGAAUACAUUAGCAUGGAAUAAUAGAAUAGGACGGUGGUCCUGUUUUGUUGGUUUCUGAAUCACCGUAAUGAUUAAUAGGGAUAGUUGGGGGCAUUAGUAUUCAAUUGUCAGAGGUGAAAUUCUUGGAUUUAUUGAAGACUAACUUCUGCGAAAGCAUUUGCCAAGGAUGUUUUCAUUAAUCAAGAACGAAAGUUAGGGGAUCGAAGACGAUCAGAUACCGUCGUAGUCUUAACCAUAAACUAUGCCGACUAGGGAUCGGACGAUGUUAAACCUUUAUUGACUCGUUCGGCGCCUUAC